rnacentral:rRNA from 1 species
UACAGAGGUGGCAAGCGUUGUUCGGAAUUACUGGGCGUAAAGGGCGCGUAGGCGGCCUACUAAGUCAGACGUGAAAUCCCCCGGCUUAACCUGGGAACUGCGUCUGAUACUGGAAGGCUUGAGGAUGGGAGAGGGAUGUAGAAUUCCAGGUGUAGCGGUGAAAUGCGUAGAUAUCAGGAGGAAUACCGGUGGCGAAAGCGACUCUCUGGACGGCAACUGACGCUGAGGCACGAAAGCGUGGGGAGCAAACAGG